rnacentral:rRNA from 1 species
CGCUACAGGUGGACAGAGAAAAUGACACACGUCACUUUUUUUUAAUUUGGCUUCCUCUUUUUUUUUCUUUGUUUAGCAGGAGGAAAGGGUAAGUGGUGGCGGGGUUAAGGAGGGGGAGAAGGAGAGGGAGCAGACGGCGGCGGCGGUGAGUGGCCUGUGUCGGCAGCGGCGGUGGUCACGGGAGGGGGUGUCGGACGUGGGGUUAGGAAGAGAGGAGGUCAGUGGAAUAGGGGUGGUGAUCACUCGAGGAGGAGGGGGGUGGGGCGAGCGGGGUCUAGCUCAUCAUCCAAGCCCAAGUGCCGGUUCCGCCGCGCUCGCGAGGCUACGACCAAGUUCGUCGAACUCCACCCACGAGGGACGCCGAGAAUGGGAACACGGCUGCGGUACCUGUUCCUCUUGUAUAUGGAGACAAUCACCUCGUCGGGGUUGGGAUCGGGAAGAAGCCGGUACCGCUGGAUCGUUCGUCCUCCUAGCUUAGGGAAAAGAAUAGGGGAAUACACUACGCACGGAGACGAACAUCUCCGCACCUCUUAAAAAGUCACGGUUCGUACAUUAAUCUCUUAUUUAUAUCGCCGUUUACUCUAAUAGCUCGACAAUAUGCUUGGCUAACAAUGAGCCAAAGGCUAGUAACGGUUCGUCUUCUUACAGCUCGCAUGGACUUUCUUCCAUAGACGUCAAACUAUAAACGUCGGGGUUCCACGAGACUUAAGGGACUUGAGUCAGCCUACGCUCUGGAAGAACUUUUCUUCAUACCCUUUCUAAAACAACAACGACGUCAACUAGACGUGUGUUUACGAUCACAGUUAUGGAACAUUCCCACACACAAAGUAAAAAAAAGAUGUUUCAGUAAGUAACAGUGAUGACGUACAUAAAAAACGAGUGAUGACUUAGUUGCUACAAGUCGAUUAACUCCUUCAACAGUCAGUAGAGACCUGAUGUGAUAGUUCAAGGUUUCGCUUCUAAAACGUGUUUGUCAUGUUCACACAGAUACUAAUACUCGUCAUAGUCAUGAAGUUGAGCUGUACUAAAUUCUACGAUUAGUAUAAGAUCUAUUUAAAAGGUCACCUUCGAGUGUUCUUAGAUAAGAAACAGUUACCUUCCUCUAAUACCCCACAUUAAGAAGUCUACAUCUUUACAGUGUAAAACGAGUCCCAAGGCUCUCAUGUUAUCUCCGGUUUUGGUUCUAAAACCUAAGAGUUUGUAUGUUAAACGUACACUUAUUUACACAUUCAAAUGUUACGUACCAACAUAGUGUUUGAUACCAAUGUUCAACGAGAGAUCCUUGAGUACUACACAACAAACGUAAUAAACAGACUAAAAGACAACAUGAGACAUUUUUGAACCUACAAAG